GGGACAAGAAAGCUGUUCAUUUCUAGUAUAAUCUAGCCGUGAUAAAGAGCUGAUGUAAGUGCAGUGCAGGAAAAUUGCCCUCUCUCAGAAUUUCUGUUUUACUCGCAGACUUGACUGCAGGGCCAAACGUCUCAACAAUCACAUCAUCAGGAUUGCCGAUGACAAACAACAAUGACACAGCCUACAGAGAGGAGGUCAAAGAGCUUGAGGCCUGGUCUCAGUUAUGGUCGAAUUGACAAUAAAAAUGACUUGACUUGACUACUUUCUGAGGAGGCUGAAGUGAGCUGGGCUUUGCAGAUCCAUAUUCACAUGAAUCUGCAGAUGAGCAGCGGAGAGCACCCUAACAAGCUGCAUCACUGCAUGGUACGGAAACUGCAAUGCAGCAACAAGAAAGCUCUACAGGAGGUAGUCAACACUGUCCAGUGCACCACUGACACCAGCCUAGCAGCUAUCAAGGACAUAUAUAAAGAAAGGUGCUCAAAAAGAGCCAGUAACAUCAUGAAAAUUCCCAACCACCCUGCUCGGCUCGCAGACUGUUUGUCCCACUCCCAUUGGGGAGGCGGCUACAUACCAUCCACACCAGGACCACCAGACUCAAGAACAGUUACUUUCCCCAGGCAGAAAGGCUGAUCAAUAUCACCUCCCACUAACUCAACCACGACUUUAUCAUUUCCUGUUAGUCAUCUUAUGUACAGCUUAGUGUCACUUUAUGGACUUACAACCAAUCUCUGUGUAGAAGCAAUCUAAUGUAUUUUUAAUUAUUGUGCUCUUUAUCUUUUGUGUUCUUUUGUAUGCAUCAGAUCCACAGUAACAAUUACUUCAUUCUCCUUUGCACUUGUGUACAGGAAAUGACGUUAAGCAAUCUUGAAUCUCCAAAGGAUGUAUGUAAAUACUAGCUCUGCAUUCUGUAUUGUUAUAGAGUCACAGAGCACGACAGCAUAGAAACAGGGUCUUUGGCCCAUCUAGUUCAUGCCGAACUAAGAAUGUAUAUCGUGUAUUGGCCUUCAAUAUAGGUUGAUUGAGUUCUAGAGCCAAGAGGUAAGUUGCAGCUCUAUAACACUCUAGGGAGACCACACGUGGAAUGUUGUGUUCAGUUCUGGUCACUUCAUUACAGAACAGAUGCGAAAGCUUCAGAGAAAUUGCUGAGAAGAUUUACCCGGAUGCCCCCUGGAUCAGAGGAUGAUUUUGAUACCUCAAAAGGGCUAUGUGGGCGGGCGGGGUGGGAUUGAUCUUGGAGUAGGUUAAAAGAUCAGCACAACAUUGUGGGCCAAAGAGCCUGAACAGUGCUGUAAUGUUCCAUGUUAAAUAUUGAGAGAGGUGUACAGGAUCAUAAGAGGCAGAGUUCAAGUAGAUAGCUAGAGACUAUUCCCUAGGGCGGAAAUGGCUAACACGAGCGGGCAUAAUCUUAAGGUGAUUGGAGGGAAGUAUGAAGGGAAGUCGGAGGUAACUAUUUUACACAGAGAGUGGUGAGCACAUUGAAAUCACUUCCAAGGGUUGAGGUAGAGGCAGAUACAUUAGAUACAAUUAAGAAACUUUUAGAUAGGCACACCAUGAUAGAAAAAUGGAGGGCCUGGAAAGAUCAAGGGUUAGAUUGAUUUUAGAGUAGAUUAAGGGGCAGCACAACAACAUGGGUGGAAGGGCUUGUACUGUGAUGUAAUAUUCUACGUUCAAACGUCUGCUGGGGUUUAUAUUUGUGU